UAUGUUUAGGGGUAAGGUGACAGGGAUACUGGAGUGAUGGAGGUAGAUAUGUAUAGAGGUAAGGUGACAGGGAUACUGGAGUGAUGGAGGUAGAUAUGUAUAGGGGAAAGGUGACAGGGAUACUGGAGUGUUGGAGGUAGAUAUGUAUAGAGGUAAGGUGACAGGGAUACUGGAGUGAUGGAGGUAGAUAUGUAUAGGGGUAAGGUGACAGGGAUACUGGAGUGAUGGAGGUAGAUAUGUAUAGAGGUAAGGUGACAGGGAUACUGGAGUGAUGGAGGUAGAUAUGUAUAGGGGUAAGGUGACAGGGAUACUGGAGUGAUGGAGGUAGAUAUGUAUAGAGGUAAGGUGACAGGGAUACUGGAGUGAUGGAGGUAGAUAUGUAUAGGGGUAAGGUGACAGGGAUACUGGAGUGAUGGAGGUAGAUAUGUAUAGAGGUAAGGUGACAGGGAUACUGGAGUGAUGGAGGUAGAUAUGUUUAGGGGUAAGGUGACAGGGAUACUGGAGUGAUGGAGGUAGAUAUGUAUAGAGGUAAGGUGACAGGGAUACUGGAGUGAUGGAGGUAGAUAUGUAUAGAGGUAAGGUGACAGGGAUACUGGAGUGAUGGAGGUAGAUA